rnacentral:rRNA from 1 species
UACGUAGGGGGCAAGCGUUGUCCGGAUUUAUUGGGCGUAAAGAGCGUGUAGGCGGCCAAGCAGGUCCGCUGUGAAAACUCGAGGCUCAACCUCGAGAGGUCGGUGGAAACCGUUUGGCUAGAGUCCGGAAGAGGAGAGUGGAAUUCCCGGUGUAGCGGUGAAAUGCGCAGAUAUCGGGAAGAACACCCGUGGCGAAGGCAGCUCGCUGGAACGGUACUGACGCUGAGGCGCGAAAGCGUGGGGAGCAAACAGG